rfam:Candidatus Magnetoovum chiemensis strain CS-04 SAG21212, whole genome shotgun sequence.
GUCGGUGGCUAUACAGGAGGGGAAACACCCGUUCCCAUCUCGAACACGGAAGUAAAGUCCUCCGUGGCUGAUGAUACUUGGGCCGCGAGGUUCUGGGAAAGUAGGUCGCUGCCGACU